AACAUCGGAUCGGAUAUCGGCCGGAGUUUUAUAACAACAUGCUGCGGAGCCGAAAUCGAGACUGAGAAUAUAUUUGUAUGAGAUAUAAAUUGAUAUAAAAAUGGUCCACUUAUCUCUUGUGAGGAUGAUCAGGUCAAGGGGACCGGACAGAUAUUGGAGGAAGAGAUUCUACCUUGACCAGUCAACGCAAUACUUUGGCCGUAGGAGGAAUUGCUUUUCAGUGGCUGUCAGAGCUGUGAGGAGGGCAUGGCAGAAUUCAACCGCCGGCCGCAAGAAGAAAAAGGGACAGAUGAGGAGGCUCUGGAACCUGAGAAUCAGUGCCGCUGUCCAGGAGCAUGGGUUAACGUAUGGACCAUUCAUUGGAAAUCUUUUGAAGCACAAUAUUCGGCUUGACAGGAAGGUCCUUUCUCAUAUAGCCAUCUAUGAACCAAAGACAUUUAAGUGUUUAGCUGAGCUAGCCAGCCAGAAGCACAAGGAAGGACUCUUAGCAACGCUCGCAAAGAACCCAGAGGGCUUCCUAUCAGGCCCCGUCACGCAAGACGACCUUUUGGCCGAGAGCGUCCGCAAACUACGACUGAGCUCCAACCCAUCUGCCUCGUCGUGACCUAAUGGUCAUGUGAUCGCAAAAGACUUUGAACAAUAACCCAAUUCAGUGUGUACUGUAGCUGAUGGGAAAGACCGAGAAAAACUGUUGGAUUUUUUUGCAGAUGGUCAACAAAAUGAAUCAAACAACUUUUUAUAUCAUAUGCCGUUGAGAAAUGAUGAUAAUGAUGGCCUCUUGUCGCGGCUCUUGCACUACAAUGUCUCACAAAUUCAACGUUCUUGGUCAGAACAUGCAUUUCAAAUUAAAGAUUAAAAUGAAUUAAGGAUCCAUCAUUAUCAACUUGCAUGUUCUGUGAUUCCAAAGAAAAUCUGGGAACCAUGCAUAGCAGUGCUAUAUAUAACACAAUGGCACUAACCCUCCAAUUGUGUGCAUGCAUGAUGAAUUAUAUUGCAAAAUAUGCAUUUACCAAUCACGUGAACUUUGUAGAGAUGAGCUAACAUGUACUAGUAUAUCAAGGAUGUGGUUUCAAACUUUCAAUCCUAUUCUAAUGUUUUGGACAUAGAAUAUUAUCCUUCGAUGUAAAUUUUCUCUUUGAAAGGUGCAUCAUGUAAAGCUACGUGUAUCAGUAAAUUCAUAUUAUAACUGUGUAUACUUGGUGUAACAGUGUAUUCUGUUUAUGAUUUGAAUUUUAUUGCAUUUUAUUUUUCAUUUCAAUCUCUUGACUUUACAGGACAAUAUAUGAAUAACAUGGUAAUGUUA